ensembl:lncRNA
GUCUGGUGUUGUAGUAGGUGCUUGAUGGUGAUAUGUGCUGUAUGGGAUAGGCCUCUCCCUAAGCAUAGUGAAAGGGUGCUGUUGUGCUCAGGCAGACUGUUCUUGCUAAUGAAGUAAACAAGAUUAGAAGGCGAAGGAAUGAGGAGACAAUAGGAGCCAUAUAAGGAAUUGUGAAUGGCACUCAUCAUGAAAGGCAGUCUAUACAGAGAAAUCUGGAUAAGAAAAAUACUUUGCUCCCUUCCCUGACUUGGGACUACUCAUUGCUGCAGCUGUUCACCAUCCCACAGUUUUUCCCCAAAGCAAUUUGUGGAACUACUGCAAACCAGAUCAUGAAAAUGGAACAAGUUACAGGUCUACAAAAUGUCUUAGGUAGUGUUGUCAGCUAGUUCUUCUUGUCAUAUACCAUGUGGGACCUUGCUAUGGUGUUGCUUCAUUAUUCUGAUGCUGACUGAUGUGGACUCCUGUGUCUGUCUGCGGCUGUUCUGUUACUGUACAACACUGUCCUUUGCCCCUUGCUGAUGACUGCAGCUCUGCCAACCUGACCCUCAGCUGCUGCACUUCCAGCCACCCACACUUCUCAUCCUAGGCAUGAGAGAGAUGAAGUGCAAUGCAGCAUUGGAACAUGGAGCGAUCACAAUCAGACAGUGUAUACCUGAAGUGUCACUGCUGGGCUCUCACCUGCUAUGAACCAGUAAAGCUUGGUGUCAAAUAUUUUUAUAGUAUUUACUCUCAAACUAAAUUAAGAUGGCAUGUAUAUGCAUAUUAAGAUAGAUAUCAGUAGUAUUUUUAUACAUACUAAUUUUAACUUUAGGAAAAGACAUUGGAAGUUAUGGGCGGCAUUAUAGAAAGGUUUUCAUAUUUAUUACUCUAAAACUUCAGAACUGCAGCUUUAGAAUUGCGUUGUAGAUUUAAUUUCAGAAAGUACAGUUUUCUUAUAGAAAGGAUCUAGCUUUGGAAGGAUUUUUCAAUAAGUUUUUGGAAGCUUAAAACAAUGGUAAUCCAAAAGACCUACAGCUGACCAUGAAAGGAACAAUACAAAAUGAAUGGCUUUGACCACUUUGAAUGUACUGUAAAAAGGUCAGACUGAGGAAGAUGUGGAGCCUUUGUGAGGAAGACUUCUGACUUCAUCCCCAUGAUCACCAGAGGGAGACCCCUACAACAGACAAUGCAUGCACCAGGAGAGAGGAAAGGCGAAAUGCAGGAGCUCAGUCCAGACAUCUUUGAACAUGGUUCAGAACCUAUUCAUGGUUAACCACUGUAUA